rnacentral:rRNA from 1 species
AUUGAACGCUGGCGGCAUGCUUUACACAUGCAAGUCGGACGGCAGCACAGAGAAGCUUGCUUCUUGGGUGGCGAGUGGCGAACGGGUGAGUAAUAUAUCGGAACGUACCGAGUAAUGGGGGAUAACUAAUCGAAAGAUUAGCUAAUACCGCAUAUUCUCUGAGGAGGAAAGCAGGGGACCUUCGGGCCUUGCGUUAUUCGAGCGGCCGAUAUCUGAUUAGCUAGUUGGUGGGGUAAAGGCCUACCAAGGCGACGAUCAGUAGCGGGUCUGAGAGGAUGAUCCGCCACACUGGGACUGAGACACGGCCCAGACUCCUACGGGAGGCAGCAGUGGGGUAUUUUGGACAAUGGGCGCAAGCCUGAUCCAGCCAUGCCGCGUGUCUGAAGAAGGCCUUCGGGUUGUAAAGGACUUUUGUCAGGGAAGAAAAGGCUGUUGCUAAUAUCGACAGCUGAUGACGGUACCUGAAGAAUAAGCACCGGCUAACUACGUG